CCUACGGGCGGCUGCAGUGGGGAAUUUUGGACAAUGGGGGAAACCCUGAUCCAGCCAUGCCGCGUGAGUGAAGAAGGCCUUCGGGUUGUAAAGCUCUUUCGGACGGAACGAAAUUGCUUGGACUAAUACUCUGAGUAGAUGACGGUACCGUAAGAAGAAGCACCGGCUAACUACGUGCCAGCAGCCGCGGUAAUACGUAGGGUGCGAGCGUUAAUCGGAAUUACUGGGCGUAAAGCGUGCGCAGGCGGUUGCCUAAGCCAGGCGUGAAAUCCCCGGGCUUAACCUGGGAAUGGCGCUUGGGACUGGGCAGCUAGAGUGCGGCAGAGGGAGGUGGAAUUCCACGUGUAGCAGUGAAAUGCGUAGAUAUGUGGAGGAACACCAAUGGCGAAGGCAGCCUCCUGGGCCUGCACUGACGCUCAUGCACGAAAGCGUGGGGAGCAAACAGGAUUAGAUACCCCGGUAGUC
rnacentral:rRNA from 1 species